UACGUAGGUGGCAAGCGUUAUCCGGAAUUAUUGGGCGUAAAGCGCGCGCAGGCGGUUUCUUAAGUCUGAUGUGAAAGCCCACGGCUCAACCGUGGAGGGUCAUUGGAAACUGGGGAACUUGAGUGCAGAAGAGAAAAGCGGAAUUCCACGUGUAGCGGUGAAAUGCGUAGAGAUGUGGAGGAACACCAGUGGCGAAGGCGGCUUUUUGGUCUGUAACUGACGCUGAGGCGCGAAAGCGUGGGUAGCAAACAGG
rnacentral:rRNA from 1 species